AAAACUACACUUUUGGGAACCAUUUUUAUAGUAUGUUACCAGAGAAGUGUUUCUGAAUAGUAUAGGACAUAAGAGACCCUGAUGAGCUGCAGCGCUCACUUCUGCGGUGUGAAGUUGGUCAGUGGUGCCACCUGGCGGACGUACUGCUUGCCAUUGAAGAUAGUUCUUUUCCUCAGGAGGGAAGGGACACAAGCUGAGGG
rnacentral:snoRNA from 1 species